rnacentral:rRNA from 1 species
GACGAACGCUGGCGGCGUGCUUAACACAUGCAAGUCGAACGGAAAGGCCCUGCUUUUGUGGGGUGCUCGAGUGGCGAACGGGUGAGUAACACGUGAGUAACCUGCCCUUGACUUUGGGAUAACUUCAGGAAACUGGGGCUAAUACCGGAUAGGAGCUCCUGCUGCAUGGUGGGGGUUGGAAAGUUUCGGCGGUUGGGGAUGGACUCGCGGCUUAUCAGCUUGUUGGUGGGGUAGUGGCUUACCAAGGCUUUGACGGGUAGCCGGCCUGAGAGGGUGACCGGCCAAAUUGGGACGGAGAUACGGCCCAGACUCCUACGGGAGGAAGAAGUGGGGAAUAUUGCAAAAUGGGCGGAAGCCUGAUGCAGCAACGCCGCGUGCGGGAUGACGGCCUUCGGGUUGUAAACCGCUUUCGCCUGUGACGAAGCGUGAGUGACGGUAAUGGGUAAAGAAGCACCGGCUAACUACGUG